UACGUAGGCAGCAAGCGUUGUUCGGAGUUACUGGGCGUAAAGAGUGCGUAGGUGGUGCCCUAAGUCUGUUGUGAAGUCUCCCGGCUUAACUGGGAGGGUGCGGUGGAAACUGGGGUGCUUGAGUGUGGGAGAGGUAAGCGGAAUUCCUGGUGUAGCGGUGAAAUGCGUAGAUAUCAGGAGGAACACCGGUGGUGUAGACGGCUUACUGGACCACGACUGACACUGAGGCACGAAAGCGUGGGUAGCAAACAGG
rnacentral:rRNA from 1 species